rnacentral:rRNA from 1 species
CCUACGGGUGGCAGCAGUCGGGAAUCAUUGGCAAUGGGCGCAAGCCUGACCCAGCAAUGCCGCGUGAAGGAAGAAGGCUUUCGGGUUGGUAACUUCUUGGAAUGGGGAAGAGCAGAAGACGGUACCCUGAAAACAAGCAACGGCUAACUACGUGACUGCAGCCGCGGUCAGAAGUAGAUAGCAAGCGUUGUCUGUAUUUAAUGGGUGUAAAGGGCGUGUAGCUGGGAAGGCAAGUCAGAUGUGAAAUCCGGGGGCUCAACCUGCGAAGUGCAUAUGAAACUGUUUGUCUUGAGUACUGGAGAGGGAAACGGAAUUCCUUGUGUAGCGGUGAAAUGCGUAGAUAUAAGGAGGAACACCAGUGGCGAAGGCGGUUUGCUGGACAGCAACUGACGGUGAGGCGCGAAGGCGAGGGGAGCGAAAAGGAUUAGAUACCCCAGUAGUC